AGCGAACGCUGGCGGCAGGCUUAACACAUGCAAGUCGAGCGGGCAUCCUUGUGGUGUCAGCGGCAGACGGGUGAGUAACGCGUGGGAACGUGCCCUUCGGUUCGGAAUAACUCAGGGAAACUUGAGCUAAUACCGGAUACGUGCGAGAGCAGAAAGGUUUAUCUGCCGAAGGAUCGGCCCGCGUCUGAUUAGCUAGUUGGUGAGGUUAUGGCUCACCAAGGCGACGAUCAGUAGCUGGUCUGAGAGGAUGAUCAGCCACACUGGGACUGAGACACGGCCCAGACUCCUACGGGAGGCAGCAGUGGGGAAUAUUGGACAAUGGGGGCAACCCUGAUCCAGCCAUGCCGCGUGAGUGAUGACGGCCUUAGGGUUGUAAAGCUCUUUUCUUCGGGACGAUAAUGACGAUACCGGAGGAAUAAGCCCCGGCUAACUUCGUG
rnacentral:rRNA from 1 species